AUGUCAAGGUCAAGGUCCCAACCAUUUGUCUUCUUAAAAUACUGGCAAAUUCAGCACCAUAUUCACAUGUCCAUGGCAUAUGAAGCUGUUGGCUCUGCUGAAAUGGCCUCAUAAUCUGGACUUCAAUUGUGUUAUUGUUAUUAAACUUUCCCAGUAUUCCAUUAAAACUCACUGU